AAAAGGUGAAAUGCAAUCACUGGAAUAAACAUGUUAUAUUCAAACUUCUUUCUGUUCACAUCUGAAAAUAUAAAUGAAAGUUUCCUUUUUUUUUUUUUUUUUUUUGGGAGGAGAGUAAAAGCUGAUUCCAAAAUUACUCUUCAAUGAAGAAAACUCUGAUGUGUUUAAUUCAGUUUAUAACUUUUACUGAAAACUUUUAUGCCAAUACAAGGUAUUUUAUUAAAUUUACUUUCAUAGGUCACUGGGGUACAAAAUGAGAUUCACAAUGAGCUUUGUUUUAGGUUCAAAGGUCAUUUGCUGUUAAUAUUAAGCACUGUGGUGAUGAUUCUCAAAGCACUUAGGGAUAUAGGAAUAGAGUUCACUCUCUUAUGCAUGUUCAUAAUUUUGCCAAAACUCAAACCAUAUUUUUUCC
rnacentral:lncRNA from 1 species